rnacentral:rRNA from 1 species
GACGAACGCUGGCGGCGUGCUUAACACAUGCAAGUCGAACGGAAAGGCCCUGCUUUUGUGGGGUGCUCGAGUGGCGAACGGGUGAGUAACACGUGAGUAACCUGCCCUUGACUUUGGGAUAACUUCAGGAAACUGGGGCUAAUACCGGAUAGGAGCUCCUGCUGCAUGGUGGGGGUUGGAAAGUUUCGGCGGUUGGGGAUGGACUCGCGGCUUAUCAGCUUGUUGGUGGGGUAGUGGCUUACCAAGGCUUUGACGGGUAGCCGGCCUGAGAGGGUGACCGGCCACAUUGGGACUGAGAUACGGCCCAGACUCCUACGGGAGGCAGCAGUGGGGAAUAUUGCACAAUGGGCGGAAGCCUGAUGCAGCAACGCCGCGUGCGGGAUGACGGCCUUCGGGUUGUAAACCGCUUUCGCCUGUGACGAAGCGUGAGUGACGGUAAUGGGUAAAGAAGCACCGGCUAACUACGUGCCAGCAGCCGCGGUGAUACGUAGGGUGCGAGCGUCGUCCGGAUUUAUUGGGCGUAAAGGGCUCGUAGGUGGUUGAUCGCGUCGGAAGUGUAAUCUUGGGGCUUAACCCUGAGCGUGCUUUCGAUACGGGUUGACUUGAGGAAGGUAGGGGAGAAUGGAAUUCCUGGUGGAGCGGUGGAAUGCGCAGAUAUCAGGAGGAACACCAGUGGCGAAGGCGGUUCUCUGGGCCUUUCCUGACGCUGAGGAGCGAAAGCGUGGGGAGCGAACAGGCUUAGAUACCCUGGUAGUCCACGCUGUAAACGGUGGGUACUAGGUGUGGGGUCCAUUCCACGGGUUCCGUGCCGUAGCUAACGCUUUAAGUACCCCGCCUGGGGAGUACGGCCGCAAGGCUAAAACUCAAAGGAAUUGACGGGGCCCCGCACAAGCGGCGGAGCAUGCGGAUUAAUUCGAUGCAACGCGUAGAACCUUACCUGGGUUUGACAUGGAUCGGGAGCGCUCAGAGAUGGGUGUGCCUCUUUUGGGGUCGGUUCACAGGUGGUGCAUGGCUGUUGUCAGCUCGUGUCGUGAGAUGUUGGGUUAAGUCCCGCAACGAGCGCAACCCUUGUUCACUGUUGCCAGCACGUUAUGGUGGGGACUCAGUGGAGACCGCCGGGGUCAACUCGGAGGAAGGUGGGGAUGACGUCAAGUCAUCAUGCCCCUUAUGUCCAGGGCUUCACGCAUGCUACAAUGGCUGGUACAGAGAGUGGCGAGCCUGUGAGGGUGAGCGAAUCUCGGAAAGCCGGUCUCAGUUCGGAUUGGGGUCUGCAACUCGACCUCAUGAAGUCGGAGUCGCUAGUAAUCGCAGAUCAGCAACGCUGCGGUGAAUACGUUCCCGGG